rnacentral:rRNA from 1 species
GACGAACGCUGGCGGCGUGCUUAACACAUGCAAGUCGAACGGAAAGGCCCUGCUUUUGUGGGGUGCUCGAGUGGCGAACGGGUGAGUAACACGUGAGUAACCUGCCCUUGACUUUGGGAUAACUUCAGGAAACUGGGGCUAAUACCGGAUAGGAGCUCCUGCUGCAUGGUGGGGGUUGGAAAGUUUCGGCGGUUGGGGAUGGACUCGCGGCUUAUCAGCUUGUUGGUGGGGUAGUGGCUUACCAAGGCUUUGACGGGUAGCCGGCCUGAGAGGGUGACCGGCCACAUGGGGACUGAGAUACGGCCCAGAAUCCUACGGGAGGCAGCAGUGGGGAGUAUUGCACAAUGGGCGGAAGCCUGAUGCAGCAACGCCGCGUGCGGGAUGACGGCCUUCGGGUUGUAAACCGCUUUCGCCUGUGACGAAGCGUGAGUGACGGUAAUGGGUAAAGAAGCACCGGCUAACUACGUG